rnacentral:rRNA from 1 species
GCGUAGGAAUAUGCCUUGAAGAGGGGGACAACUUGGGGAAACUCAAGCUAAUACCGCAUAAUGUCUGAGGACGAAAGCUGGGGACCUUCGGGCCUGGCGCUUUAAGAUUAGCCUGCGUCCGAUUAGCUAGUUGGUGGGGUAAGGGCCUACCAAGGCGACGAUCGGUAGCUGGUCUGAGAGGAUGACCAGCCACACUGGAACUGAGACACGGUCCAGACUCCUACGGGAGGCAGCAGUGGGGAAUAUUGGACAAUGGGGGCAACCCUGAUCCAGCAAUGCCGCGUGUGUGAAGAAGGCCUGAGGGUUGUAAAGCA